rnacentral:tRNA from 1 species
GGCGGCGUAGCCAAGGGGUUAAGGCGUCGGUCUGCAAAGCCGAUAUCGGCGGUUCGACUCCGCCCGCCGCCU